UUUAUGGAGAGUUUGAUCCUGGCUCAGGAUGAACGCUGGCGGCGUGCCUAAUACAUGCAAGUCGAGCGAACGGACGAGAAGCUUGCUUCUCUGAUGUUAGCGGCGGACGGGUGAGUAACACGUGGAUAACCUACCUAUAAGACUGGGAUAACUUCGGGAAACCGGAGCUAAUACCGGAUAAUAUUUUGAACCGCAUGGUUCAAAAGUGAAAGACGGUCUUGCUGUCACUUAUAGAUGGAUCCGCGCUGCAUUAGCUAGUUGGUAAGGUAACGGCUUACCAAGGCAACGAUGCAUAGCCGACCUGAGAGGGUGAUCGGCCACACUGGAACUGAGACACGGUCCAGACUCCUACGGGAGGCAGCAGUAGGGAAUCUUCCGCAAUGGGCGAAAGCCUGACGGAGCAACGCCGCGUGAGUGAUGAAGGUCUUCGGAUCGUAAAACUCUGUUAUUAGGGAAGAACAUAUGUGUAAGUAACUGUGCACAUCUUGACGGUACCUAAUCAGAAAGCCACGGCUAACUACGUGCCAGCAGCCGCGGUAAUACGUAGGUGGCAAGCGUUAUCCGGAAUUAUUGGGCGUAAAGCGCGCGUAGGCGGUUUUUUAAGUCUGAUGUGAAAGCCCACGGCUCAACCGUGGAGGGUCAUUGGAAACU
rnacentral:rRNA from 1 species